rnacentral:misc_RNA from 1 species
GAUGAAGAACGUAGCGAAAUGCGAUAAGUAAUGUGAAUUGCAGAAUUCAGUGAAUCAUCGAAUCUUUGAACGCACAUUGCGCCCGCCAGUAUUCUGGCGGGCAUGCCUGUUCGAGCGUCAUUUCAACCAUCAAGCCCCAGGCUUGUGUUGGGGACCUGCGGCUGCCGCAGGCCCUGAAAACCAGUGGCGGGCUCGCUGUCACACCGGGCGUAGUAGAUUUUAUCUCGCUCAGGGCGUGCUGCGGGUUCCGGCCGUUAAAAAGCCUUUUUUACCCAAGGUUGACCUCUGAUCAGGUAGGAAGACCCGCUGAACUUAAGCAUAUCAAUAAGCGGAGGA